rnacentral:rRNA from 1 species
CUUCGGGAUAAGCCUUGGAAACGGGGUCUAAUACCGGAUAUGAGCCUGCAUCGCAUGGUGUGGGUUGGAAAGUUUUUCGGUGGGGGAUGGGCUCGCGGCCUAUCAGCUUGUUGGUGGGGUGAUGGCCUACCAAGGCGUCGACGGGUAGCCGGCCUGAGAGGGCGACCGGCCACACUGGGACUGAGACACGGCCCAGACUCCUACGGGAGGCAGCAGUGGGGAAUAUUGCACAAUGGGCGAAAGCCUGAUGCAGCGACGCCGCGUGAGGGAUGACGGCCUUCGGGUUGUAAACCUCUUUCAGCAGGGAAGAAGCGCAAGUGACGGUACCUGCAGAAGAAGCGCCGGCUAACUACGUGCCAGCAGCCGCGGUAAUACGUAGGGCGCAAGCGUUGUCCGGAAUUAUUGGGCGUAAAGAGCUCGUAGGCGGUCUGUCGCGUCUGGUGUGAAAUCCCGAGGCUCAACCUCGGGCUUGCAUCGGGUACGGGCAGACUAGAGUGCGGUAGGGGAGACUGGAAUUCCUGGUGUAGCGGUGGAAUGCGCAGAUAUCAGGAGGAACACCGAUGGCGAAGGCAGGUCUCUGGGCCGCAACUGACGCUGAGGAGCGAAAGCAUGGGGAGCGAACAGGAUUAGAUACCCUGGUAGUCCAUGCCGUAAACGUUGGGCACUAGGUGUGGGGCUCAUUCCACGAGUUCCGUGCCGCAGCUA